rnacentral:rRNA from 1 species
GUCGAGCGGACAGAUGGGAGCUUGCUCCCUGAUGUUAGCGGCGGACGGGUGAGUAACACGUGGGUAACCUGCCUGUAAGACUGGGAUAACUCCGGGAAACCGGGGCUAAUACCGGAUGGUUGUUUGAACCGCAUGGUUCAAACAUAAAAGGUGGCUUCGGCUACCACUUACAGAUGGACCCGCGGCGCAUUAGCUAGUUGGUGAGGUAACGGCUCACCAAGGCAACGAUGCGUAGCCGACCUGAGAGGGUGAUCGGCCACACUGGGACUGAGACACGGCCCAGACUCCUACGGGAGGCAGCAGUAGGGAAUCUUCCGCAAUGGACGAAAGUCUGACGGAGCAACGCCGCGUGAGUGAUGAAGGUUUUCGGAUCGUAAAGCUCUGUUGUUAGGGAAGAACAAGUACCGUUCGAAUAGGGCGGUACCUUGACGGUACCUAACCAGAAAGCCACGGCUAACUACGUGCCAGCAGCCGCGGUAAUACGUAGGUGGCAAGCGUUGUCCGGAAUUAUUGGGCGUAAAGGGCUCGCAGGCGGUUUCUUAAGUCUGAUGUGAAAGCCCCCGGCUCAACCGGGGAGGGUCAUUGGAAACUGGGGAACUUGAGUGCAGAAGAGGAGAGUGGAAUUCCACGUGUAGCGGUGAAAUGCGUAGAGAUGUGGAGGAACACCAGUGGCGAAGGCGACUCUCUGGUCUGUAACUGACGCUGAGGAGCGAAAGCGUGGGGAGCGAACAGGAUUAGAUACCCUGGUAGUCCACGCCGUAAACGAUGAGUGCUAAGUGUUAGGGGGUUUCCGCCCCUUAGUGCUGCAGCUAACGCAUUAAGCACUCCGCCU